UCUAACGAAUAAAAUACAAUAUAGAUUUAAAUAUUACAAAAUAUAUUUUAAAAUGGUGAAGAAAUAAUAUAUGACAGAUAGUCUAGGAGUACAGAUAUAUAGCAGUUGAUGUGAUUGACUUAUUUGGCUAACUACAAGAUGUUUUUGGCCCUUUUUUCAGUUUCUUUUCGGAUGAAAGGUUGCGUGAUACACUAAAGAUAACGACGUGCUAGAUGCUCAUGGCUCUAUUUUUGUACAUCCCUACUUCUUGAGGUAGAGGCACGCCAGUCUUUUGAAGAGGGAGUCACUCGUGACGUCAAUACUUAAAUUGUGACGUCGUAAAAAAUCAACUCCAGAAAUUGGAGGAGUCUAGUCUACUACUUAAAAAAAAUCCAGUGGUACCUCCUGUCAAAGCCGAUAUUCAGGGACGACAUCCCCAAAAGAAAAACUAUUUGUCCUCCGAAGGCGACAGAGGAUGUUAGGUAGUCUUUUUAAAACCCCUCAGUGUCAAAUUUUUGGGUGUCGAUCGUGCAAAUUAGAUUCUUGCUCCGAAAUUUUUUGGGAUGAGA
rnacentral:lncRNA from 1 species